UACGGAGGGGGCUAGCGUUGUUCGGAAUUACUGGGCGUAAAGCGCACGUAGGCGGAUUGUUAAGUCGGGGGUGAAAUCCUGAGGCUCAACCUCAGAACUGCCUUCGAUACUGGCAAUCUCGAGUCCGGAAGAGGUUGGUGGAACAGCUAGUGUAGAGGUGAAAUUCGUAGAUAUUAGCUAGAACACCAGUGGCGAAGGCGGCCAACUGGUCCGGUACUGGACGCCUGAGGUG
rnacentral:rRNA from 1 species